rnacentral:rRNA from 1 species
UACAGAGGUCCCGAGCGUUGUUCGGAUUCACUGGGCAUAAAGGGUGCGUAGGUGGCAUGGAAAGUUUGAUGUGAAAGCUCAGGGCUUAACCCUGAAAUGGCAUUGAAUACUGCCGUGCUGGAGGUUUGGAGGGGGGACUGGAAUUCUUGGUGUAGCAGUGAAAUGCGUAGAUAUCAAGAGGAACACCAGUGGCGAAGGCGAGUCCCUGGACAACACCUGACACUGAGGCACGAAAGCUAGGGGAGCAAGCAGG